GCAUAAUUAGUGCAGGUUAAGGAAAGUAAUCAAAAAUAAAUUCAUUUAGUUGUUCUGAUUUACAGAAUAUAUAAUGUGUCUGGGAUUUUAAGUUGUUUUUUUUGGUAGUUACAGGUCACAAAGCACAAGGAGUAAAAUAAACUUUUAAUGUGGAGCGAUUUUAGAAUUUGGUAUGUUUGUCUUGUAAGCUUAAUAGCCAUAAAAGAAAACAAAAUUGCCACACAAAAGUAU
rnacentral:lncRNA from 1 species